rnacentral:rRNA from 1 species
UGAACGCUGGCGGCGUGCCUAACACAUGCAAGUCGAGCGCGAUUAGUUGGACUGGAGGCUUCGGUCAAAGGGAAGAUUAUGAAAGCGGCGGACGGGUGAGUAACGCGUGAGCAACCUGCCCUGUACAGGGGGAUAGCCACUGGAAACGGUGAUUAAUACCCCAUAAACCCAAAAGAUCGCAUGAUCUAAUGGGCAAAGUCCUAACGGUACAGGAUGGGCUCGCGUCUGAUUAGCUAGUUGGUGAGGUAAUGGCUCACCAAGGCGACGAUCAGUAGCCGACCUGAGAGGGUGAACGGCCACACUGGAACUGAGACACGGUCCAGACUCCUACGGGAGGCAGCAGUGGGGAAUAUUGCACAAUGGGCGCAAGCCUGAUGCAGCAACGCCGCGUGAGUGAUGAAGGCCUUCGGGUCGUAAAACUCUGUCCUAAGGGAAGAAGAAGUGACGGUACCUUAGGAGGAAGCCCCGGCUAACUACG